rnacentral:rRNA from 1 species
GACGAACGCUGGCGGCGUGCUUAACACAUGCAAGUCGAACGGAGGGGCGAACGAGUGAGUAACAAGUGGGUGACCUGCCCCGCACUUCGGGAUAUGCCUGGGAAACUGGGUUUAAGACCGGAUAGUGUGGGAUGGGCCCGCGACCUAUCGGCCUGUUGGUGGGGUAUGGGCCUACCUCGGCGGCGAGGGGUAGCCGGCCUGCGAGGGUGGACGGCGACAUUGCGACUGAGACACGGCCCAGACGCGUACGGGAGGCAGCAGUGGGGAAUAUUGCACAAUGGGCGGAAGCCUGAUGCAGCGACGCCGCGUGGGGGAUGCCGGCCUUCGGGUUGUAAACUCCUUUCACCAUCGACGCGGUAGAUGGAGAAGAAGCACCGGCUAACUACGUGCCAGCAGCCGCGGUAAUAC